rnacentral:lncRNA from 1 species
GCUGGACACAGACCACACCCAGCAGUCCCUUUGCCUGUCCCCAAAUUGUGGAAAUUUUUUCCUUCUGUUUUUUGGUACUGGGGAUCGAACUCGGGUCCUUGCGCUUGCACAGCAGGUGGCGAAACCACUGAGCUAAAUCCCCAGCCCUGGAAAUUUUUUCUUAAUAGGUGAGCUAAACCAAAUUAAACAGGUUUCUUUCCUGGCAGAUAUCUUUGGUUAACAUGUUAAUGUGUACGUAAGGGGUGUGUUAAACAACCUGGUUUCAUAACAUACCCGAAAUUCAACUUUUCUUUUUUGUUUCCUACAGGCCUCAUAAAGCUUAUAAGCAAAGAAAAUCUUCCCUUUCCAGGAAGCAAAGUCUGGUAGACAUAGGGAUUGUCAAGCACCCAUGUCUCACAGAAUCCUCCAGCAUGCUGGCCACUUGGCACAACAUCCUCAUGGCAAUAUGUGGAUGUUGUGUGAGCUGUAGGAGCUUUCCUAUCAUCUGUUUUAGGUAUACACUGCUAUUAGAGGGCACUUGUUAGAGAAUGAAUUACAACCUCUUGAAAGCUAUUUUUUGUUUUGUGGUGCGGAGGAUCAGUCCAGUGCCUCAUGUGUGUUAGCAGGCACUCUACCACUGAGCUGUACCUCUAGUUCACUCUGCCCUCUGAAAAGUCUUAAAUCUCCAGUUCCUCAGAAUGUAACCGUGUUUGGACAUAAAGGCCUUCAGUGAGGCAAUUUACAUGAGAUGAAGACAUUAGUGUGGGCCUGAAUCUAAUGUGACCAGUGUCCCUAGGACAGGAGAUUAGGACACAGACACAGAGAGGGACAACCAUGUGAAGACAUAGAAAGAUGGCAUCUGGAAGCCCAGGACAGGCCUUGGGAGAAGGCA